rnacentral:misc_RNA from 1 species
GAUGAAGAACGCAGCGAAAUGCGAUAAGUAAUGUGAAUUGCAGAAUUCAGUGAAUCAUCGAAUCUUUGAACGCACAUUGCGCCCGCCAGUAUUCUGGCGGGCAUGCCUGUUCGAGCGUCAUUUCAACCAUCAAGCCCCAGGCUUGUGUUGGGGACCUGCGGCUGCCGCAGGCCCUGAAAACCAGUGGCGGGCUCGCUGUCACACCGGGCGUAGUAGAUUUUAUCUCGCUCAGGGCGUGCUGCGGGUUCCGGCCGUUAAAAAGCCUUUUUUACCCAAGGUUGACCUCGGAUCAGGUAGGAAGACCCGCUGAACUUAAGCAUAUCAAAACGGAGGA